GCCACGCCGUGCCAACAUGGGGUGCUUAUAAAACCCUCGUGCAGCGCACCCACACCUGAUUGGUUGUUACCCAUGAUCUCAUAAGGCACGCCCCGGAGUGGGCAAAGACCUGGCACGAAGGCACUCUUGCACAUGCGCACAGUUAACUACCUGAAAGGGGGGCCGGCUGGCGCGGCGAAGGUUGGCGCCAUCUUGUAAUGGCGGAGUCUAUCCUGACCUACCACGUGGGGCGCAGUGGAAGACAGCGCCAUCUAGUGGUGGCGAACGUAUUGCGGCCCUCUACAAGUAGCCAAGAGUCACCUGAGGGUGAAGCUAUGUAUUCUGUAUUACAGAUGGGAGCAAACCAGUGACUGAGUGCGGGUCCUCGUUCUGACCUGCCACAAGGCCUCCUUUCUUGGUGAGACAAAACGCAGUGAGCUCUUGACUGCGCUCAUUCCAUGCUUCAAGAAAGCACCCGGCCUCUAUUCCAGGUGUCAAGAGGAAAAUGAGAAAAAAGCAUAAAAGAAGCAUAAACUAAUGUGUAUAUAAACACGUAGCCUGAAGACCACGAGGAAACAUGCUACAAAUGAAGAAGUAAUAACAAAUCCACAGUCAUAUGAGGCCACUGAACCAAGAACAACCAUUUGUACUGUGGAUUUCAGGACCACGGUUGCCAAAGCUGGAGUUCCAAGUGGCACCAGGACAACAGUGCUCCCCUUUGUGGUGUUUAUGAGACAAAAUUCAACGUGACCAGCUGCCUCAUGUUCCUGUUAUCCUGCCUAGCUCAGCGAACUCUGAGGCAAAAUUAGAAAACAAGUAUUUUGUUUUCUUUCAUUGCCUACAUUAUAUAAUGAGACAUCUUAAAUGUUGAGUAACUUAACUGCUACUUGUGGGCAGAUUUAUUUAUACAUCUCAAGUUUUCUGCAAAAUUAAAAUAUGUGUAUGAAAAAGACA